AUUGAACGCUGGCGGCAGGCUUAACACAUGCAAGUCGAGCGGGGUGAUGGUGCUUGCACUAUCACUUAGCGGCGGACGGGUGAGUAAUGCUUAGGAAUCUGCCUAUUAGUGGGGGACAACAUCUCGAAAGGGAUGCUAAUACCGCAUACGUCCUACGGGAGAAAGCAGGGGAUCACUUGUGACCUUGCGCUAAUAGAUGAGCCUAAGUCGGAUUAGCUAGUUGGUGGGGUAAAGGCCUACCAAGGCGACGAGCUGUAGCGGGUCUGAGAGGAUGAUCCGCCACACUGGGACAGGGAAACGGCCCAGACUCCUACGGGAGGCAGCAGUGGGGAAUAUUGGACAAUGGGGGGAACCCUGAUCCAGCCAUGCCGCGUGUGUGAAGAAGGCCUUAUGGUUGUAAAGCACUUUAAGCGAGGAGGAGGCUCUUUUGGUUAAUACCCAAGAUGAGUGACGUUACUCGCAGAAUAAGCACCGGCUAACUCUGUGCCAGCAGCCGCCGUAA
rnacentral:rRNA from 1 species